rnacentral:misc_RNA from 1 species
ACACCUCAACCCUCCAAUGUUUUUUUGCAUUGCAGGUGUUGGUAGUGAGCGCUGCCGGUCUUUGGAUCGGCUCGCUUUAAAAUCAUUAGCUGGAUCCAUUCUGACCUGGUUCUACUCGGCGUAAUAAGUUAUUAUCGUCGAGGACGCCUGGCCUUGUUAGGCAAGGGCGGCCACAGUAAGGGUGUUUGAACCGCUUCCAACAUGUCUUGCUCUUGUAGCAAACGCUUGAACCU